rnacentral:tRNA from 1 species
GGGGGCGUGGCGUAACUUUGGUCAGCCGCGAUGGGCUUAAACCCCAUUGUCCGAAAGGACGUGCAGGUUCGAAUCCUGCCGCCCCUACCA